rnacentral:rRNA from 1 species
AGGGGAGAGUUUGAUCCUGGCUCAGAUUGAACGNNNGCGGCAGGCCUAACACAUGCAAGUCGAGCGGAUGAAGGGAGCNUNCUCCUGGAUUCANNNGCGGACGGGUGAGUAAUGCCUAGGAAUCUGCCUGGUAGUGGGGGAUAACGUCCGGAAACGGGCGCUAAUACCGCAUACGUCCUGAGGGAGAAAGUGGGGGAUCUUCGGACCUCACGCUAUCAGAUGAGCCUAGGUCGGAUUAGCUAGUUGGUGGGGUAAAGGCCUACCAAGGCGACGAUCCGUAACUGGUCUGAGAGGAUGAUCAGUCACACUGGAACUGAGACACGGUCCAGACUCCUACGGGAGGCAGCAGUGGGGAAUAUUGGACAAUGGGCGAAAGCCUGAUCCAGCCA